rnacentral:rRNA from 1 species
GAUGAAUGCUGGCGGCGUGCCUAACACAUGCAAGUCGAGCGGCAGCGCGGUCUUCGGACUGGCGGCGAGCGGCGGACGGCUGAGUAACGCGUGGGAACAUACCCCAAAGUGAGGGAUAACCGCCCGAAAGGGUGGCUAAUACCGCAUAUGAUCUUCGGAUUAAAGGAUUUAUCCGCUUUGGGAAUGGCCUGCGUACGAUUAGAUAGUUGGUGAGGUAAAGGCUUACCAAGUCUACGAUCGUUAACUGGUCUGAGAGGAUGAUCAGUCAGACUGGAACUGAGACACGGUCCAGACUCCUACGGGAGGCAGCAGUGAGGAAUCUUCCACAAUGGGCGAAAGCCUGAUGGAGCAACGCCGCGUGCAGGAUGAAGGCCUUCGGGUCGUAAACCGCUUUUAUAAGUGAAGAAUAUGACGGUAACUUAUGAAUAAGCACCGGCUAACUACGUGCCAGCAGCCGCAGUAA